UUAAGCGACUAAGCGUACACGGUGGAUGCCCUGGCAGUCAGAGGCGAUGAAGGACGUGCUAAUCUGCGAUAAGCGUCGGUGAGGUGAUAUGAACCGUUAUAACCGGCGAUUUCCGAAUGGGGAAACCCAGUGUGUUUCGACACACUAUCAUUAACUGAAUCCAUAGGUUAAUGAGGCGAACCGGGGGAACUGAAACAUCUAAGUACCCCGAGGAAAAGAAAUCAACCGAGAUUCCCCCAGUAGCGGCGAGCGAACGGGGAGGAGCCCAGAGCCUGAAUCAGUGUGUGUGUUAGUGGAAGCGUCUGGAAAGGCGCGCGAUACAGGGUGACAGCCCCGUACACAAAAAUGCACAUAUUGUGAGCUCGAUGAGUAGGGCGGGACACGUGGUAUCCUGUCUGAAUAUGGGGGGACCAUCCUCCAAGGCUAAAUACUCCUGACUGACCGAUAGUGAACCAGUACCGUGAGGGAAAGGCGAAAAGAACCCCGGCGAGGGGAGUGAAAAAGAACCUGAAACCGUGUACGUACAAGCAGUGGGAGCCUCUUAAUGGGGUGACUGCGUACCUUUUGUAUAAUGGGUCAGCGACUUAUAUUCUGUAGCAAGGUUAACCGAAUAGGGGAGCCGAAGGGAAACCGAGUCUUAACUGGGCGUUAAGUUGCAGGGUAUAGACCCGAAACCCGGUGAUCUAGCCAUGGGCAGGUUGAAGGUUGGGUAACACUAACUGGAGGACCGAACCGACUAAUGUUGAAAAAUUAGCGGAUGACUUGUGGCUGGGGGUGAAAGGCCAAUCAAACCGGGAGAUAGCUGGUUCUCCCCGAAAGCUAUUUAGGUAGCGCCUCGUGAAUUCAUCUCCGGGGGUAGAGCACUGUUUCGGCAAGGGGGUCAUCCCGACUUACCAACCCGAUGCAAACUGCGAAUACCGGAGAAUGUUAUCACGGGAGACACACGGCGGGUGCUAACGUCCGUCGUGAAGAGGGAAACAACCCAGACCGCCAGCUAAGGUCCCAAAGUCAUGGUUAAGUGGGAAACGAUGUGGGAAGGCCCAGACAGCCAGGAUGUUGGCUUAGAAGCAGCCAUCAUUUAAAGAAAGCGUAAUAGCUCACUGGUCGAGUCGGCCUGCGCGGAAGAUGUAACGGGGCUAAACCAUGCACCGAAGCUGCGGCAGCGACACUAUGUGUUGUUGGGUAGGGGAGCGUUCUGUAAGCCUGUGAAGGUGGCCUGUGAGGGUUGCUGGAGGUAUCAGAAGUGCGAAUGCUGACAUAAGUAACGAUAAAGCGGGUGAAAAGCCCGCUCGCCGGAAGACCAAGGGUUCCUGUCCAACGUUAAUCGGGGCAGGGUGAGUCGACCCCUAAGGCGAGGCCGAAAGGCGUAGUCGAUGGGAAACAGGUUAAUAUUCCUGUACUUGGUGUUACUGCGAAGGGGGGACGGAGAAGGCUAUGUUGGCCGGGCGACGGUUGUCCCGGUUUAAGCGUGUAGGCUGGUUUUCCAGGCAAAUCCGGAAAAUCAAGGCUGAGGCGUGAUGACGAGGCACUACGGUGCUGAAGCGACAAAUGCCCUGCUUCCAGGAAAAGCCUCUAAGCAUCAGGUAACAUCAAAUCGUACCCCAAACCGACACAGGUGGUCAGGUAGAGAAUACCAAGGCGCUUGAGAGAACUCGGGUGAAGGAACUAGGCAAAAUGGUGCCGUAACUUCGGGAGAAGGCACGCUGAUAUGUAGGUGAAGCGACUUGCUCGUGGAGCUGAAAUCAGUCGAAGAUACCAGCUGGCUGCAACUGUUUAUUAAAAACACAGCACUGUGCAAACACGAAAGUGGACGUAUACGGUGUGACGCCUGCCCGGUGCCGGAAGGUUAAUUGAUGGGGUUAGCGGUAACGCGAAGCUCUUGAUCGAAGCCCCGGUAAACGGCGGCCGUAACUAUAACGGUCCUAAGGUAGCGAAAUUCCUUGUCGGGUAAGUUCCGACCUGCACGAAUGGCGUAAUGAUGGCCAGGCUGUCUCCACCCGAGACUCAGUGAAAUUGAACUCGCUGUGAAGAUGCAGUGUACCCGCGGCAAGACGGAAAGACCCCGUGAACCUUUACUAUAGCUUGACACUGAACAUUGAGCCUUGAUGUGUAGGAUAGGUGGGAGGCUUUGAAGUGUGGACGCCAGUCUGCAUGGAGCCGACCUUGAAAUACCACCCUUUAAUGUUUGAUGUUCUAACGUGGGCCCCUUACCGGGGUUGCGGACAGUGUCUGGUGGGUAGUUUGACUGGGGCGGUCUCCUCCUAAAGAGUAACGGAGGAGCACGAAGGUUGGCUAAUCCUGGUCGGACAUCAGGAGGUUAGUGCAAUGGCAUAAGCCAGCUUGACUGCGAGCGUGACGGCGCGAGCAGGUGCGAAAGCAGGUCAUAGUGAUCCGGUGGUUCUGAAUGGAAGGGCCAUCGCUCAACGGAUAAAAGGUACUCCGGGGAUAACAGGCUGAUACCGCCCAAGAGUUCAUAUCGACGGCGGUGUUUGGCACCUCGAUGUCGGCUCAUCACAUCCUGGGGCUGAAGUAGGUCCCAAGGGUAUGGCUGUUCGCCAUUUAAAGUGGUACGCGAGCUGGGUUUAGAACGUCGUGAGACAGUUCGGUCCCUAUCUGCCGUGGGCGCUGGAGAACUGAGGGGGCUGCUCCUAGUACGAGAGGACCGGAGUGGACGCAUCACUGGUGUUCGGGUUGUCAUGCCAAUGGCACUGCCCGGUAGCUAAAUGCGGAAGAGAUAAGUGCUGAAAGCAUCUAAGCACGAAACUUGCCCCGAGAUGAGUUCUCCCUGACUCCUUGAGAGUCCUGAAGGAACGUUGAAGACGACGACGUUGAUAGGCCGGGUGUGUAAGCGCAGCGAUGCGUUGAGCUAACCGGUACUAAUGAACCGUGAGGCUUAACCUUACAA
rnacentral:rRNA from 1 species